rnacentral:rRNA from 1 species
AAAACGACUCUCGGCAACGGAUAUCUCGGCUCUCGCAUCGAUGAAGAACGUAGCGAAAUGCGAUACUUGGUGUGAAUUGCAGAAUCCCGUGAACCAUCGAGUCUUUGAACGCAAGUUGCGCCCAAAGCCUUCGGGCCGAGGGCACGCCUGCCUGGGUGUCAUGC